UUAUGGCUCAGGAGUGAACGCUGGCGGCGUGCUUAACACAUGCAAGUCGAACGGAGUUUUUAAACGGAAGUUUUCGGAUGGAAGUUUAAGAACUUAGUGGCGGACGGGUGAGUAACGCGUGGGUAACCUGCCUCAUACAGGGGGAUAACAGUUAGAAAUGACUGCUAACACCGCAUAAUAUAGCGAAACCGCAUGAUUUUUGCUAUCAAAUAUUUAUAGGUAUGAGAUGGGCCCGCGUCUGAUUAGCUAGUUGGUGGGGUAAAAGCCUACCAAGGCGACGAUCAGUAGCCGGCUUGAGAGAGUGACCGGCCACAUUGGGACUGAGACACGGCCCAAACUCCUACGGGAGGCAGCAGUGGGGAAUAUUGGACAAUGGGGGAAACCCUGAUCCAGCGACGCCCGCGUGAGUGAAGAAGUAUUUCGGUAUGUAAAGCUCUAUCAGCAGGGAAGAUAAUGACAGUACCUGACUAAGAAGCCCCGGCUAACUACGUGCCAGCAGCUGC
rnacentral:rRNA from 1 species